AACGCUGGCGCGUGCUUAACACAUGCAAGUCGAACGAAGCACUUUAUUUGAUUUCCUUCGGGACUGAAGAUUUUGUGACUGAGUGGCGACGGGUGAGUAACGCGUGGGUAACCUGCCUCAUACAGGGGGAUAACAGUUGGAAACGACUGCUAAUACCGCAUGACACAUUGAGGUCGCAUGGCCUUAAUGUCAAAGAUUUAUCGCUGAAAGAUGGCCUCGCGUCUGAUUAGCUAGUUGGUGAGGUAACGGCCCACCAAGGCGACGAUCAGUAGCCGGACUGAGAGGUUGAACGGCCACAUUGGGACUGAGAUACGGCCCAGACUCCUACGGGAGGCAGCAGUGGGGAAUAUUGGGCAAUGGGGGAAACCCUGACCCAGCAACGCCGCGUGAAGGAAGAAGGCCUUCGGGUCGUAAAGCUCUGUUGUCGGGGACGAAUGUGCGGAUUAUCAACAACGAUCUGCAAUGACGGUACCUGACGAGGAAGCCACGGCUAACUACGUG
rnacentral:rRNA from 1 species